rnacentral:rRNA from 1 species
CGAACGCUGGCGGCGUGCUUAACACAUGCAAGUCGAACGUGAUUUUUGUGGAAAUUCUUUCGGGAAUGGAAAUGAAAUGAAAGUGGCGAACGGGUGAGUAACACGUGAGCAACCUACCUUACACAGGGGGAUAGCCGUUGGAAACGACGAUUAAUACCGCAUGAGACCACAGAAUCGCAUGAUAUAGGGGUCAAAGAUUUAUCGGUGUAAGAAGGGCUCGCGUCUGAUUAGCUAGUUGGAAGGGUAAAGGCCUACCAAGGCGACGAUCAGUAGCCGGUCUGAGAGGAUGAACGGCCACAUUGGAACUGAGACACGGUCCAAAACUCCUACGGGAGGCAGCAGUGGGGAAUAUUGCACAAAUGGGGGGAAAC